GAAUCUCCGCUACCUCCCUCAAUAGUUUUAACGCCUCUUCAGGCAGAACUAGGGACUGCGGGUCGGUGACGUGGCCGGGAGAGAAGGGGAACUGAGAACUGGGUCCACAGUAGCGCACGGCGUGACUUCGUCAGGGAACGCAGAAGGGGGCUGCGACGGGGAGGGAGAGGAUGAUUAAUGCCGUGUGUCAGCCCGCAUGAGCGCCGGCGCGGCCGAGGGAGCCGGGGAGCCCAGCCGGCACACCGCUGCCCCCAGCUGGCUGACGGAGGAACUGCAGAGCGCCGCGCACGCCGGACCGCAAACCACGACCUAGAGGCGAUCUCCACUGUGCACACCUGUGCUCGCCUCGGAACUAAUACCGGCCUGCCGCCUCAACCCUUUGCUGCUUCAAGAUAAUGUAUCUUUCUCACGGAGAAAGCAGAAGCUGAUUCCACUCUGAAAAGUAAAAAGCCAGCUCGGAUUGAGGAGCAAGAGGCACGAACAGGCCAGACCCGACGGAAGGGUUAAGAAAACAAACCGCCGUCAGGCCUGAGCAGGGCUGCAAGUCAAGCGCUCGGCUCCCGAGUCCUCAGCGCGGAGCGCCCUCCAGCGGACAGCGAGAGACACGCAGUCAAGACGCGGUUCAUCCUCCGACACACGAAGAGGCGGAGUUGGAGAAGCGUAAAAUGUUUAAUCCAUUAAAAGAAGAGCGUUACCCAACAGUUUUGACCCAAAGUUGUAAAACCUGCACACCACACUCGGUUGAAGUUUACUUAAGGUGAUUUCACCCGAAAGAUGAUAAAUAUGUUACAAUAUAAACGUGCAAGGCAGCCAUCAAGACUGGUACAAUAAUCUGUUCAAUUUCGCCGCGCUAAGGGCACGUUAUCAAAUGGCCCCAACAACACCAAGGCAAAUCUGUUUUUUCGAUUUCGAUUAAGGUCCGCCGACGUACAUUCACUCAAGAGAAGGUGGGAGGUUCUGAAAUGCAGGAGAUUCGACAGGAAGUGAAAAGGGAUGAACAUUGCUAUAGGAGUGGAAGCCGACCGGCGGAGACAGAGCUGGCGAUAUCCAGGCGUCAGCUGGCUGUACCAUCAGCGGCAGGCUCCUGGGGAGGGUUUUCUCUGGUUCCCCACUCUGUCUAGGGGGAGGACAGUCCCUCCCUAUCUGGGCCUUGGUGUAACAGUGAGCUCUAAGGAAGGCUUCAGGCUCGCCCACACUCCCCUGCCUGUGUACGCCCCUACUCCUGUGGCCACUCCCUUGGCAUUACCUUUUCCGACUGCUGCCUCCGCAACUGAGCCGUUUACCUGCGGGAACAACACAGAGGGGUCAGGAGACAGACAGACAGGCGCCGCCGGGUCGAGCCGGGCCCGGCGCGCUCGUCUUUGCCCCUGGGGGCGGCUGGCAGGCGGCGGCGGGAGGUCCGCCGUGCUCAACUCCAAUCUGCUCUCGUGACUCCACACAGCGGCGGUUCUGCUUCAUGGCUUGUCUGGAGUGAGGAUGGCCGCUGACAGGACACAGCAGACUGAGGGCUGUAGCAGUGACCCUCCUUCAUCCUGGCAGGCACAGGCCUAAUGUGCCAUGAUCAAAAACAUUCGCCUACUGUCUACAGGAUACUACAGCCCUGCGGACUGUGUCUACAGGAUACUACAGC
rnacentral:lncRNA from 1 species